AACCUCCGCAAUGCGAGCAAUCGCGACGGGGGGACCCCAAGUGCUACUCUUAACGGGGUAGCUUUUCUAAAGUGCUUCAGGAAUAAGAGCUGGCAAGACCGGUGCCAGCCGCCGCGGUAACACCGGCAGCUCAAGUGGUGGCCGUUUUUAUUGGGCCUAAAGCGUCCGUAGCCGGUUUAAUAAGUCUCUGGUGAAAUCCUGCAGCUUAACUGUGGGAAUGCUGGAGAUACUAUUAGACUUGAGAUCGGGAGAGGUUAGAGGUACUCCCAGGGUAGAGGUGAAAUUCUGUAAUCCUGGGAGGACCGCUGUUGCGAAGGCGUCUGACUGGAACGAUCUGACGGUGAGGGACGAAAGCUAGGGGGGGGACCGGGAUUAGAUACCCGGGUAGUCCUAGCUGUAAACGAUGCGGACUGGGUGUUGGGCGGUGCCGAAGGGAGCUGUUAAGUCCGCCGCCUGGGAAGUACGGUCGCAAGACUGAAACUUAAGGAAUUGGCGGGGAGC
rnacentral:rRNA from 1 species